AACGCUAAUCGACGCAGGGUUAGUCGGACCUAAGACGAGACCGAAAGGUGUAGUCGAUGGACAACAGGUUAAUAUUCCUGUACCGCGUAUACUGCGAUGGGGGGACGGAGAAGGCUAAGCUUACCGGGUGUUGGUUAUCCCGGGGAAAGUAUGUAGGUAGAGAACUUUGGAAAAUCCGGGUUCUUAUUACUGAGAUACGAGACCAUUGAUUUUUUAAUCAAGAAGUAGCUGAUGCCAUGCUUCCAAGAAAAGCCUCUAAGCUUCAGGUAUUACGUGACCGUACCCCAAACCGACACAGGUGGGUGGGAUGAGAAUUCUAAGGCGCUUGAGAAAACUCUGGUGAAGGAACUAGGCAAAUUGGUACCGUAACUUCGGAAGAAGGUACGCCUCUGUUGGUGAUUGAACUUGCUUCAUAAGCUGAUGGAGGUCUCAGAAACCAGGUGGCUGCGACUGUUUAAUAAAAACACAGCACUCUGCUAACUCGUAAGAGGAUGUAUAGGGUG
rnacentral:rRNA from 1 species